rnacentral:siRNA from 1 species
UGGAUGCUGAAAUGUGACUGAUGC